CCUUAUUCUGUCUGUUCUGUGAGCGCUCAGCCAGGUCUGUUCUGUGAGCGCUCAGCCAGGUUCUGUGAGCGCUCAGCCAGGUCUGUUCUGUGAGCGCUCAGCCAGGUCUGUUCUGUGAGCGCUCAGCCAGGUCUGUUCUGUGAGCGCUCAGCCAGGUUGUUUGGAAUUUGGGCGGGACGAAGAAGGAGCUGACGAGCUCGGACUUCUCGCCCCGCAGCCCUGGAAGACGUUCCAAGGGUGUUAGGGGCCCGACUUUUCGGGGCCCAAUCUGGGAGAGGAAAAAGAUCCGGACUAACGGCACUCUGUCUGUAUUUUUGGCUUUCAGAGGGCCCCGGACCUUUGCCACCUCCAUCUGACUUUUUGCUUUCAGUUUGGUACCAAAGCCGUGCAGCACGCCUGUCUGUUGUUUGUUUGACUGUUGGUGUUGUUUGUUUUCUCUGUGUUCUAAUCUUCCUUAGAACUAACAUGGGACAGUCCCUAACAACGCCCCCAAGUCUCACUCUUGAUCAUUAGAAAGACGUCCACGACCGGGCACACAACCAGUCCGUCGAGGUUAAAAAAAAAAAAAGAAAAAUGGCAGACUCUCUGCACAUCCGAGUGGCCCACUUUCGGAGCGGGAUGGCCAGUGAAUGACACAUUUAAUAAGAUCAUUAUUUUACAGGUUAAAGAUCGGGCCGUCCACGGACAUCCUGACCAGGUUUCUUAUAUUAUCACUUGAGAGAGUCUCACCUUAAACCCCCCCGGGCGGAACCCUUCGUGGACCCGAAAUGGCCUCCCCUCAACCCCCAGCCUGCCCCCUCGGCCCCGCCCGGUCUGCCGGCCACGUCUUCCUCUCUCUACCUUUGUGAAAUCAGAGCCUUCUAAAAAAACCUGUCCUCCCGGCAGACCCAAACUCCCCUCUCAUAGAUCUUCUCUCUGACAGGCCCGGCUGAAACGGAGGAGGCAGAGCCGCCGGCCAGAUCAGUUGCCGGGCCACAGUCUGAUAAGGGUUUCUCCCCUGUCGCAGGGAGAUUGCGCAAUAAGCGCGAGGUGAUGCCAGAUACAACCUCCCAGGCUUUCCCACUUAGAUAGGGAACCGGUGGCCAGACCCAAUACUGGCCGUUUUCAGCAGCUGACAUUUACAAUUAGAAACAACACAACCCUUCUUUCUCCAAAGAUCCGGUGGCACUCAGCGACCUAAUAGAAUCUGUUUUACUUACCCACCAGCCUACUUGGGAUGACUGCCAACAGCUCUUACAGGCCCUCUUAACCUCAGAAAAAAAACAAAGAGUGUUCCUAGAGGCCAGAAAGCAUGUUCUGGGAGAUGAUGGGCGUCCCACCCAGCUGCCUGAGGACCAAACUGGGAUUUUAAUACAGCUGAAGCUUCAGGACAACUCAGCGACCGGACGGCCUGGGUACAAAGAGCUACUGGUGAGAAACAAUACCGAUGGACUACGGACCGCCGGGUUCAGCUGGCUACUGGUAAGGUGACCCAUUCCUUCUUACAUGUUCCGGACUGCCCGUACCCUCUGCUGGGCCGUGACCUGCACACCAAACUAAAGGCACAAAUUCAUUUUGAGGAAGGAGGGGCCCAAAUAACUGGCCCCCACGGAACUCCCCUUCAAGUUCUAACCCUACAACUAGAGGAUGAAUAUAGACUAUAUGAACCGGGACAGGACAAGCCACAAUCCCUAGAAAUAGACACUUGGGUCACGAAUUUUCCACUGGCUUGGGCAGAGACUGGUGGGAUGGGGUUGGCGCUCCAACAGCCCCCCUUAAUUACAACUCCAGUCUCCAUAAAACAAUACCCCCUGUCACAUGAAGCUUAUCAAGGUAUAAGGCCUCACAUUACGAGGCUUCUAGAUCAAGGCAUCCUAGUCCCCUGCCGGUCGCCUUGGAAUACGCCUCUUCUGCCUGUUAAGAAACCCGGCACUGGAGAUUAUAGGCCAAUACAAGACUUGAGAAAGGUCAACAAGAGGAUAAAAGAUAUUCAUCCAACUGUUCCAAACCCUUACAAUUUGCUCAGUAACUGUUCAUCGAUGAGAAACAGGGAUAUGCUAAAGGGGUCCUAACACAAAGGUUGGGACCCUGGAAACGCCCUGUGGCCUACCUGUCUAAGAAAUUGGACCCUGUGGCCUCCGGCUGGCCACCGUGCCUAAGGAUGGUGGCUGCUAUUGCUGUCCUGAUCAAGGAUGCUGGAAAAUUGACUUUGGGACAGCCACUCACCAUCCUAGCACCCCACGCAGUGGAGGCCUUGGUAAAGCAGCCCCCAGACCGCUGGCUCUCUAAUUCCCGCAUGAGAGGGAGAGCGAAAGGCUAGAGCUGCGGUCACUAUGGAGGACAGACAAAGUGAUUUGGGCGAAAGCCCUGCCUGCUGGUACCUCCGCACAACGGGCUGAACUCAUCGCCUUGACUCAGGCGCUCAAGAUGACAAAAGGUAAGAGGCUAAAUAUAUAUACAGACAGCCGUUAUGCCUUUGCCACGGCACACAUCCACGGGGAGAUCUACUGGAGGCGGGGGCUGCUCACAUCUGAGGGUAAAAAUAUGGCUAAAAUUCUGGCCCUCUUAGAAGCCCUAUUCUUGCCCAAAAGACUGAGUAUUAUACAUUGUCCAGGACACCAGAAAGAACACAACCCAGAGACACGAAGAAACCGGCUGGCCGAUGCCACGGUGCGAGAAGCGGCCAUGAGCAAACAAAUCUUGUCCUUAAAUAGCCCAGACCAACCCACGCCCCCACCAGUGGGACAAACCAGUUGGGUUUAUGCCCAUGAGGACAUAGAGCUCCUAAAAAAAUGGGGGCCAUCUACCACCCUCAACUAAAACAGUGGGUCUACAAAGGAAAGACAGUUAUGCCAAUAAAAAUGACUUUUAAAUUGAUCUCCUUUUUACAUAAAUUAACCCAUUUGGGGUUUAAGAAGAUGACUAGAUCGAGAAGAGAUAAAUCUGUGUUUUUUAAAUCGAGACAAAGCGAUACAAAAGGUGACUGAGAGUUACAAAGCGUGCGCUCAGGUUAACCCGAGAAGGACCAUGAUUGGACAAGGAGUUCAUCCUAGGGGACACCGUCCCGACAUCCAUUGAGAAAUUGGUUUUACUAAAAUUAAACCAGAUAUAUAUGGAUACAAGUAUCUCCUAGUGUUUGUAGACACCUUCUCAGGAUGGGUCAAAGCCUUCCCCACGAAACACGAGACUACAAAAAUGGUCACCAAGAAGCUCCUCGAGGAAAUCUUUCCCAGGUAUGACAUGCCUCAAGCGUUGAGGUCAGACAACGGGCCCACUUUUGUCUCCCAAGUAAGUCAGUUGGUGGCCAAAUUGCUGGGGAUUGAUUGAAAAUUACAUUGUGCCUAUAGACCCCAGAGUUCAGGUCAGGUAGAACACAUAAAUAGAACAAUUAAGGAGACUUUAUCCAAACUUACGCUUACAACUGGCUCAAAGGAUUGGGUGGCCCUCCUUCCCCUAGUUCUAUAUCGGGCCCGGAAUACCCCGGGCCCCCAUGGUCUAACUCCUUUUAAAAUAAUAUAUAGAACACCACCCCCAUUUGUCCAUUUCUUUGAUUCAAACAUUGCUGAUUUUGCUGACAGCCCUUCUCUGAGGGCCCAUUUACAGGCCCUACAGAUUGUACAGAGAGACGUCUGGAGACCUUUGGCCGCUGCUUACCAGGACAAGCUUGAACAUCCGGUGGUGCCACACCCGUUCCAGAUUAGAGACACCGUGUGGGUGCACAGACACCAGACCAAGAAUCUCGAGCCACGGUGGAAAGGACCCUACACCAUCCUCCUGACUACCCCGACCGCCCUAAAGGUAGACGGAGUCUCGGCUUAGAUCCACACACCACACGUCAAGACAGUCCGGUCUGAGGAAUUGACUAAUCACAUCACUACACCCCAGACAUGGAGAGUUCAGCACACUCCAAACCCCUUAAAGUUAAAACUCCUACGUGGCUCCUCCUAGUCCUUUUGUGGCCUAGAGUCAGUGGGGGAAUAAGCCCCCACCAGACAGAAAUUUCUUGACCAAGUCGAGUGAAAGAUUUCACUCAAAGUUAGCAAAAAAAUGGGGGAAUGAAAGACCCCAGCUUAGCAGCAGUAACGCCAUUUUGCAAGGCUGUACUUAAGAUGACUGGUUCAGGGAAAGGUUAGAACACUGAGUACACAGCGGCUGCCAAGCAAGAUAUGUUUGGUUGAAGGCCUGGCAACAGGACGACUUCGGUUGAGCACCUGACAAUGAAAAAAAGCCCCAGGAGAGGUCCCACACCCUGGUGGGGGGCCGAGUCAGUCGUUAUGUUCCAAGAAGGUAGCUAAGAAACUUGCCCCCGGGCUGAACCCUUGGGGGGCCGAGUCAGCCGUUAUGUUUCUGGAAGGUAGCUAGGAAACUUGCCCCCGGGCUAAACCCUUGCCAUAUUAGAAUCCACCAAUUAUAUCCCUGUAACCAUGCAUCUGCUUCUGUAUGCUUGCUUCUGCUCCCCAAAAUCCUAUAAAAGCCCAUCCUUGGUUCUGUGGGGCGCGCCAGUCCCCCGAGUGACUGAAGCGCCCGCAGGUGCCUGUGCCUGUGUAUCCCAACAAUAAACCAAAUCCUCUUGCUGAU